rnacentral:piRNA from 1 species
UUUUGUUUUUAAUUUUGUCCC